rnacentral:rRNA from 1 species
UACGGAGGGUGCAAGCGUUGCUCGGAAUCAUUGGGCGUAAAGCGCACGUAGGCGGCUAAGCAAGUUGGGUGUGAAAGCCCUGGGCUCAACCCAGGAAGUGCAUUCAAAACUGCUUCGCUUGAAUCUCGGAGGGGGUCAGAGAAUUCCCGGUGUAGAGGUGAAAUUCGUAGAUAUCGGGAGGAAUACCAGUGGCGAAGGCGCUGACCUGGGCGAAGAUUGACGCUGAGGUGCGAAAGCGUGGGGAGCAAACAGG